rnacentral:tRNA from 1 species
GGGCGUAUAGCUCAGUUGGUUAGAGCAGCCGACUCAUAAUCGGCCGGUCGUAGGUUCGAAUCCUACUGGGCCCACCA